ACGAACGCUGGCGGCGUGCCUAACACAUGCAAGUCGAGCGGAGACAGUGAGUAGCUUGCUAUGAGCUGUUUUAGCGGCGGACGGGUGAGUAACGCGUGAGCAACCUUUCCCAGACAGGGGAAUAACACACCGAAAGGUGUACUAAUACCGCAUAAGACCACGGGAUCACAUGGUUCUGGGGUAAAAGAUUUAUCGGUUUGGGGUGGGCUCGCGUCCGAUUAGGUAGUUGGUGAGGUAACGGCCCACCAAGCCGACGAUCGGUAGCCGACCUGAGAGGGUGAUCGGCCACAUUGGGACUGAGACACGGCCCAAACUCCUACGGGAGGCAGCAGUGGGGAAUAUUGGGCAAUGGAGGAAACUCUGACCCAGCAACGCCGCGUGGAGGAAGAAGGUUUUCGGAUCGUAAACUCCUGUCCUUGGAGACGAGUAGAAGACGGUAUCCAAGGAGGAAGCCCCGGCUAACUACGUGCCAGCAGCCGCGGUAAUACGUAGGGGGCAAGCGUUGUCCGGAAUAAUUGGGCGUAAAGGGCGCGUAGGCGGCUCGGUAAGUCUGGAGUGAAAGUCCUGCUUUUAAGGUGGGAAUUGCUUUGGAUACUGUCGGGCUUGAGUGCAGGAGAGGUUAGUGGAAUUCCCAGUGUAGCGGUGAAAUGCGUAGAGAUUGGGAGGAACACCAGUGGCGAAGGCGACUAACUGGACUGUAACUGACGCUGAGGCGCGAAAGUGUGGGGAGCAAACAGGAUUAGAUACCCUGGUAGUCCGCACGGUAAACGAUGGAUGCCCGCUGUUGGUCUGAAUAGGUCAGCGGCCAAGCGAAAGCAUUAAGCAUCCCACCUGGGGAGUACGCCGGCAACGGUGAAACUCAAAGGAAUUGACGGGGGCCCGCACAAGCAGCGGAGCAUGUGGUUUAAUUCGACGCAACGCGAAGAACCUUACCAGGUCUUGACAUCCACUUAAACUUACAGAGAUGUAAGGUGUGCUUGCACAAAGUGAGACAGGUGGUGCAUGGUUGUCGUCAGCUCGUGUCGUGAGAUGUUGGGUUAAGUCCCGCAACGAGCGCAACCCUUAUCUUCAGUUACUAACGCGUGAAGGUGAGGACUCUGAAGAGACUGCCGGGGACAACUCGGAGGAAGGUGGGGACGACGUCAAAUCAUCAUGCCCCUUAUGACCUGGGCUACACACGUGCUACAAUGGCCACGACAGAGAGAAGCGAAAUCGUAAGGUAGAGCGGAACUCAAAAAAGUGGUCCCAGUUCGGAUUGUGGGCUGCAACCCGCCCACAUGAAGUCGGAGUUGCUAGUAAUCGCGGAUCAGCAUGCCGCGGUGAAUACGUUCCCGGGCCUUGUACACACCGCCCGUCACACCAUGGGAGUUGGGAGUGCCCAAAGCCGGUGAGGCAACCGCAAGGAGCCAGCCGUCUAAGGCAAGACCAAUGACUGGGGUG
rnacentral:rRNA from 1 species